UACGUAGGGUGCGAGCGUUGUCCGGAAUUACUGGGCGUAAAGCGCACGUAGGCGGACAUUUAAGUCAGGGGGUGAAAUCCCAGAGCUCAACUCUGGAACUGCCUUUGAUACUGGGUGUCUUGAGUAUGGAAGAGGUGAGUGGAAUUCCGAGUGUAGAGGUGAAAUUCGUAGAUAUUCGGAGGAACACCAGUGGCGAAGGCGACUCUUUGGCCUGUAACUGACGCUGAGGCGCGAAAGCGUGGGGAGCAAACAGG
rnacentral:rRNA from 1 species